rnacentral:rRNA from 1 species
GACGAACGCUGGCGGCGUGCUUAACACAUGCAAGUCGAACGGAAAGGCCCUGCUUUUGUGGGGUGCUCGAGUGGCGAACGGGUGAGUAACACGUGAGUAACCUGCCCUUGACUUUGGGAUAACUUCAGGAAACUGGGCUAAUACCGGAUAGGAGCUCCUGCUGCAUGGUGGGGGUUGGAAAGUUUCGGCGGUUGGGGAUGGACUCGCGGCUUAUCAGCUUGUUGGUGGGGUAGUGGCUUACCAAGGCUUUGACGGGUAGCCGGCCUGAGAGGGUGACCGGCCACAUUGGGACUGAGAUACGGCCCAGACUCCUACGGGAGGCAGCAGUGGGGAAUAUUGCACAAUGGGCGGAAGCCUGAUGCAGCAACGCCGCGUGCGGGAUGACGGCCUUCGGGUUGUAAACCGCUUUCGCCUGUGACGAAGCGUGGGUGACGGUAAUGGGUAAAGAAGCACCGGCUAACUACGUG